GAGUAACGCUUCGGAAACCUGCCCAAUGGUGGGGAAACAACCAGCCGAAAGGUUGGCUAAUACCGCAUGAGCCCUUCGGGGGAAAGCGGGGGAUCGCAAGACCUCGCGCCGAUGGAUGAGCCGAAGCCGGAUUAGCUAGUUGGUAGGGUAACGGCCUACCAAGGCGACGAUCCGUAGCUGGUCUGAGAGGACGACCAGCCACACUGGGGAUGAGACACGGCCCAGGAUCCUACGGGAGGCAGCAGUGGGGAAACAUUGGACAAUGGGGGAAACCCUGAUCCAGCGACGCCGCGUGUGUGAAGAAGGCCUGCGGGUUGUAAAGCACUUUUAGUGGGGAUGAAAAGCUCAGGGCUAACACCUCUGGGUCUUGACCUAACCCACAGAAAAAGCACCGGCUAACUCUGUGCCAGCAGCCGCGGUAAUACAGAGGGUGCAAGCGUUAAUCGGAAACUACUGGGCGUAAAGCGUACGUAGACGGUUGGAUAAGUCGGAUGUGAAAGCCCCGGGCUCAACCUGGGAAACGGCAUUCGAGGAUGUUCAGCUAGGGUGCGGAAGAGGGAAGCGGAAUUUCCGGUGUAGCGGUGAAAUGCGUAGAUAUCGGAAGGAACACCAGUGGCGAAAGCGGCUUCCUGGUCCAGCACCGACGUUCAGGUACGAAAGCAUGGGGAGCAAACAGGAUUAGAUACCCUGGUAGUCCAUGCCAUAAACGAUGA
rnacentral:rRNA from 1 species